CGGAUGGCAGCCUGACCUGCACCAAGAGGAAAACACUGAAACGCACAUAGACCAGGAGAAGCCAACCACCGUGCCAUUCUGAUUUAUGGUCGAUCCCGUACAGCAACUACCUCGUUCUCUUGCUCAGAUUCAUCUUUCUCUAAAUACAUACAACUGUGUAUUUGAGAAUUCCAGCUGAAAACUGUCUACCACACUGUGAAAAGGCUGCAGACAAAAGAGCCAGCAGUGAGAAAUCAGAAGAGCCAAGAAUCUUGUCAAACUGCAUUGGCAUUUCUCCAAAUGGGAACAGAACUUCUUUUUUGUCCUUUCUGUAAAGUUCUUGGCAUGCUCGUGGCAGAGGAGACUGCUUCACAGCAAGAGAAAAGGCCCACUGCACUCAAUGAGAUCACAUUUAUUUAUGCUGUUCCUUCUUCCCUUUAAGAGGAACCAUCACUUUCCAGGAGAAAACUGCACCAGUGGGGAAGCAUGAAACAAGUAUGGUAAGACAAAGUUAAUUCUUUACUGGUAGGGGUGAGAGGAGGUAAAAGAUAUCGUAUGUAUUAAACAGACUGGGAACCCAGGGGUCACAGACAGACACAAGGUCUGAUUAAUUCACUGCUUACAGUUGAGCAAUGAAAGAUGCAUAAUGCUACUAAACUGAAAAAUAACCAAACCCUAGUUACCAAUGUCCAUUUUCAGGGUAAAAUUUUUUCUAAAUAUUCUUGCAACUAAUAAAGACAAUUACUCUUAGGGGGUAAGGGAGGUAGAGUGGAUAGGGAUGGGGAUGAGAGUGAGCUGUGUCACGCAUAUCCUUUUAUAGCAUUUUUUC